CCUACGGGAGGCAGCAGUGGGGAAUAUUGGACAAUGGGCGCAAGCCUGAUCCAGCAAUGCCGCGUGGGUGAUGAAGGCCUUAGGGUCGUAAAGCUCUUUUACCAGGGAUGAUAAUGACAGUACCUGGAGAAUAAGCUCCGGCUAACUCCGUGCCAGCAGCCGCGGUAAUACGGAGGGAGCUAGCGUUGUUCGGAAUUACUGGGCGUAAAGCGUACGUAGGCGGUUAUUCAAGUCAGAGGUGAAAGCCCGGGGCUCAACCCCGGAACGGCCUUUGAAACUAGGUAGCUAGAAUCUUGGAGAGGUCAGUGGAAUUCCGAGUGUAGAGGUGAAAUUCGUAGAUAUUCGGAAGAACACCAGUGGCGAAGGCGACUGACUGGACAAGUAUUGACGCUGAGGUACGAAAGCGUGGGGAGCAAACAGGAUUAGAUACCCUGGUAGUCCACGCCGUAAACGAUGAUAACUAGCUGUCCGGGCACUUGGUGCCUGGGUGGCGCAGCUAACGCAUUAAGUUAUCCGCCUGGGGAGUACGGUCGCAAGAUUAAAACUCAAAGGAAUUGACGG
rnacentral:rRNA from 1 species